rnacentral:rRNA from 2 species
CAAUUGAUUGAUGGUGCUUGCACCUGAUUGAUUUUGGUCGCCAACGAGUGGCGGACGGGUGAGUAACACGUAGGUAACCUGCCCAGAAGCGGGGGACAACAUUUGGAAACAGAUGCUAAUACCGCAUAACAGCGUUGUUCGCAUGAACAACGCUUAAAAGAUGGCUUCUCGCUAUCACUUCUGGAUGGACCUGCGGUGCAUUAGCUUGUUGGUGGGGUAACGGCCUACCAAGGCGAUGAUGCAUAGCCGAGUUGAGAGACUGAUCGGCCACAAUGGGACUGAGACACGGCCCAUACUCCUACGGGAGGCAGCAGUAGGGAAUCUUCCACAAUGGGCGCAAGCCUGAUGGAGCAACACCGCGUGAGUGAAGAAGGGUUUCGGCUCGUAAAGCUCUGUUGUUAAAGAAGAACACGUAUGAGAGUAACUGUUCAUACGUUGACGGUAUUUAACCAGAAAGUCACGGCUAACUACGUGCCAGCAGCCGCGGUAAUACGUAGGUGGCAAGCGUUAUCCGGAUUUAUUGGGCGUAAAGAGAGUGCAGGCGGUUUUCUAAGUCUGAUGUGAAAGCCUUCGGCUUAACCGGAGAAGUGCAUCGGAAACUGGAUAACUUGAGUGCAGAAGAGGGUAGUGGAACUCCAUGUGUAGCGGUGGAAUGCGUAGAUAUAUGGAAGAACACCAGUGGCGAAGGCGGCUACCUGGUCUGCAACUGACGCUGAGACUCGAAAGCAUGGGUAGCGAACAGGAUUAGAUACCCUGGUAGUCCAUGCCGUAAACGAUGAGUGCUAGGUGUUGGAGGGUUUCCGCCCUUCAGUGCCGGAGCUAACGCAUUAAGCACUCCGCCUGGGGAGUACGACCGCAAGGUUGAAACUCAAAGGAAUUGACGGGGGCCCGCACAAGCGGUGGAGCAUGUGGUUUAAUUCGAAGCUACGCGAAGAACCUUACCAGGUCUUGACAUCUUGCGCCAACCCUAGAGAUAGGGCGUUUCCUUCGGGAACGCAAUGACAGGUGGUGCAUGGUCGUCGUCAGCUCGUGUCGUGAGAUGUUGGGUUAAGUCCCGCAACGAGCGCAACCCUUGUUACUAGUUGCCAGCAUUAAGUUGGGCACUCUAGUGAGACUGCCGGUGACAAACCGGAGGAAGGUGGGGACGACGUCAGAUCAUCAUGCCCCUUAUGACCUGGGCUACACACGUGCUACAAUGGACGGUACAACGAGUCGCGAACUCGCGAGGGCAAGCAAAUCUCUUAAAACCGUUCUCAGUUCGGACUGCAGGCUGCAACUCGCCUGCACGAAGUCGGAAUCGCUAGUAAUCGCGGAUCAGCAUGCCGCGGUGAAUACGUUCCCGGGCCUUGUACACACCGCCCGUCACACCAUGAGAGUUUGUAACACCCAAAGUCGGUGGGGUAACCUUUAGGAGCCAGCCGCCUAAGGGGGAGCC